rnacentral:rRNA from 1 species
AUUGAACGCUGGCGGCAGGCCUAACACAUGCAAGUCGAACGAGUGGCGGACGGGUGAGUAAUGUCUGGGAAACUGCCUGAUGGAGGGUGAUAACUACUGGAAACGGUAGCUAAUACCGCAUACCAUCAUAUUUGCCCAGAUGGGAUUAGCUGGUUGGUGGGGUAACGGCUCACCAAGGCGACGUUCCCUAGCUGGUCUGAGAGGAUGACCAGCCAGACUGGGACUGAGACACGGUCCAGACUCCGACGGGAGGCAGCAGUGGGGAAUAUUGCACAAUGGGCGCAAGUCUGAUGCAGCCAUGCCGCGUGUAUGAAGAAGGCCUUCGGGUUGUAAAGUACUUUCAGCGGGGAGGCGUUACCCGCAGAAGAAGCAACGGCUAACUCCGUGCCAGCAGCCGCGGUAAUAC